rnacentral:lncRNA from 1 species
AAGGUAGAGUAAAAGUAAACUUAUCAAUCUAUUAGUCGUAAGAUUAAUUAUAUAUUUAUUCCUCCACCUUCUAAAGGCUAUAAUAAAAAAAUAUUUUUACCAAUGCUUCUUACUUUUAUAUCCUACAAUUACAUAAAAAAAAAAAAUUGUGUCUUCUAUUUAAAUACUAUAGCUUCAAAUACAUCCAUGCCUUGUUGAGGCCCAU